AGUACCCUUAGGAAAAGAAAUCAAUUGAGAUUCCCUCAGUAGCGGCGAGCGAACGGGGAUCAGCCCAUUAAGUUAUGUGUGUUUUAGUGGAACGCUCUGGGAAGUGCGAACGUAGAGGGUGAUAUUCCCGUACACGAAAGGGCACACAUAAUGAUGACGAGUAGGGCGAGGCACGUGAAACCUUGUCUGAAUAUGGGGGGACCAUCCUCCAAGGCUAAAUACUCCUGACUGACCGAUAGUGAACCAGUACCGUGAGGGAAAGGCGAAAAGAACCCCUGUGAGGGGAGUGAAAUAGAUCCUGAAACCGCAUGCAUACAAGCAGUGGGAGCACCUUCGUGGUGUGACUGCGUACCUUUUGUAUAAUGGGUCAGCGACUUAUAUUCAGUAGCAAGGUUAACCGUAUAGGGGAGCCGUAGAGAAAUCGAGUCUUAAUAGGGCGUUUAGUUGCUGGGUAUAGACCCGAAACCAGGCGAUCUAUCCAUGAGCAGGUUGAAGGUUGGGUAACACUAACUGGAGGACCGAACCCACUGUCGUUGAAAAGCCAGGGGAUGACUUGUGGAUAGGGGUGAAAGGCUAAUCAAGCCUGGUGAUAGCUGGUUCUCCCCGAAAGCUAUUUAGGUAGCGCCUCGGACGAAUACCAUAGGGGGUAGAGCACUGUUUCGGCUAGGGGGUCAUCCCGACUUACCAAACCGAUGCAAACUCCGAAUACCUAUGAGUACUAUCCGGGAGACAGACUGCGGGUGCUAACGUCCGUAGUCAAGAGGAAAACAAUCCAGACCGCCAGCUAAGGCCCCAAAAUCAUAGUUAAGUGGGAAACGAUGUGGGAAGGCAUAGACAGCUAGGAGGUUGGCUUAGAAGCAGCCACCCUUUAAAGAAAGCGUAAUAGCUCACUAGUCGAGUCGGCCUGCGCGGAAGAUGUAACGGGGCUAAAACUAUGUGCCGAAGCUGCGGAUGUAUACUUUGUAUACGUGGUAGGGGAGCGUUCUGUAAGCCGAUGAAGGUGUGUUGAGAAGCAUGCUGGAGGUAUCAGAAGUGCGAAUGCUGACGUGAGUAACGACAAAACGGGUGAAAAACCCGUUCGCCGAAAGACCAAGGGUUCCAGUCCAACGUUAAUCGGGGCUGGGUGAGUCGACCCCUAAGGCGAGGCCGAAAGGCGUAGUCGAUGGGAAAAUGGUUAAUAUUCCAUUACUUCUGUGUAAUGCGAUGAGAGGACGGAGAAGGCUAAAUCAGCCUGGCGUUGGUUGUCCAGGUGAAAGGAUGUAGGCAUGUAUCUUAGGCAAAUCCGGGGUACUCUAUGCUGAGAUCUGAUAGCAAGCUGUACUUGUACAGCGAAGUGGUUGAUGCCAUGCUUCCAGGAAAAGUCUCUAAGCUUCAGUUACACAGGAAUCGUACCCGAAACCGACACAGGUGGUCAGGUCGAGUAGACCAAGGCGCUUGAGAGAACUCUGCUGAAGGAACUAGGCAAAAUGGUACCGUAACUUCGGGAGAAGGUACGCUGUUGUUGGUGAUGGAACUCGCUUCCUGAGCUGACGACAGCCGCAGAAACCAGGCCGCUGCAACUGUUUAUUAAAAACAUAGCACUCUGCAAACACGAAAGUGGACGUAUAGGGUGUGAUGCCUGCCCGGUGCUGGAAGGUUAAUUGAUGGGGUUAGCGUAAGCGAAGCUCUUGAUCGAAGCCCCAGUAAACGGCGGCCGUAACUAUAACGGUCCUAAGGUAGCGAAAUUCCUUGUCGGGUAAGUUCCGACCUGCACGAAUGGCAUAAUGAUGGCGGCGCUGUCUCCAGCAGAGGCUCAGUGAAAUCGAAAUCGCUGUGAAGAUGCAGUGUACCCGCGGCUAGACGGAAAGACCCCGUGAACCUUUACUGCAGCUUGACACUGAACUUUGACCUUACUUGUGUAGGAUAGGUGGGAGGCUUUGAAGCUGGAACGCUAGUUCCAGUGGAGCCGUCCUUGAAAUACCACCCUGGUAAUGUUGAGGUUCUAACUCUGUCCCGUGAUCCGGGACGAGGACCGUGUCUGGUGGGUAGUUUGACUGGGGCGGUCUCCUCCUAAAGAGUAACGGAGGAGUACGAAGGUGCGCUCAGCGUGGUCGGAAAUCACGCGUAGAGUAUAAAGGCAAAAGCGCGCUUAACUGCGAGACCCACAAGUCGAGCAGGUACGAAAGUAGGUCUUAGUGAUCCGGUGGUUCUGUAUGGAAGGGCCAUCGCUCAACGGAUAAAAGGUACUCUGGGGAUAACAGGCUGAUACCGCCCAAGAGUUCAUAUCGACGGCGGUGUUUGGCACCUCGAUGUCGGCUCAUCUCAUCCUGGGGCUGAAGCAGGUCCCAAGGGUAUGGCUGUUCGCCAUUUAAAGAGGUACGCGAGCUGGGUUUAGAACGUCGUGAGACAGUUCGGUCCCUAUCUACCGUGGGCGCUGGAAAUUUGAGAGGAUCUGCUCCUAGUACGAGAGGACCAGAGUGGACGAACCUCUGGUGUACCGGUUGUGACGCCAGUCGCAUCGCCGGGUAGCUAUGUUCGGAAGGGAUAACCGCUGAAAGCAUCUAAGCGGGAAGCCUACCUCAAGAUAAGAUUUCCCUAGGACUUUAUGUCCUCUAAAGAGCCGUUCGAGACUAGGCGUUGAUAGGUUGGAUGUGGAAGCAUAGUGAUAUGUGAAGCUGACCAAUACUAAUUGCUCGUGAGGCUUGACUAUACAACACCCAAGCAGUUG
rnacentral:rRNA from 1 species